rnacentral:rRNA from 1 species
UACGUAGGUGGCAAGCGUUAUACGGAUUUACUGGGUGUAAAGGGCGAGUAGGCGGGAUUGCAAGUCAGAUGUGAAAACUAUGGGCUCAACCGAUAGAGUGCAUUUGAAACUGCAGUUCUUGAGUGAUGGAGAGGCAGGCGGAAUUCCCGGUGUAGCAGUGAAAUGCGUAGAUAUCGAGAGGAACACUCGUGGCGAAGGCGGCUUACUGGACUGUAACUGACGCUGAGGCUCGAAAGCAUGGGUAGCGAACAGG